GAUGAACGCUGGCGGCGUGCCUAAUACAUGCAAGUCGAACGAAACUUCUUUAUCACCGAGUGCUUGCACUCACCGAUAAAGAGUUGAGUGGCGAACGGGUGAGUAACACGUGGGCAACCUGCCCAAAAGAGGGGGAUAACACUUGGAAACAGGUGCUAAUACCGCAUAACCAUAGUUACCGCAUGGUAACUAUGUAAAAGGUGGCUAUACUACCGCUUUUGGAUGGGCCCGCGGCGCAUUAGCUAGUUGGUAGGGUAAAGGCUUACCAAGGCAAUGAUGCGUAGCCGAAUUGAGAGGUUGAUCGGCCACAUUGGGACUGGGACACGGCCCAAACUCCUACGGGAGGCAGCAGUAGGGAAUCUUCCACAAUGGGCGAAAGCCUGAUGGAGCAACGCCGCGUGGGUGAAGAAGGUCUUCGGAUCGUAAAACCCUGUUGUUAGAGAAGAAAGUGCGUGAGAGUAACUGUUCACGUUUCGACGGUAUCUAACCAGAAAGCCACUGCUAACUACGUG
rnacentral:rRNA from 1 species